UUACAAGCUAUGAAAAGAAGAGUAAAUAAAGGUUUUUUCUAUCAGAGAGCUAGAUUAGGUGAAAGCUAGUGUCAAAAGCUUUAUUGAAGAUGGUCUUGGAGCUUUUUAUCUGAGCAAGUGUGCUAGGGUAAAACGGUUGGACACGUUAUAGUCUACUAAGGUAUCUAUAAAAUGAUUUCUACAUUUCAUGUGAAACAUAAACAUUAUAGAUGAAUUAGGGUGGUACCGUGAAUAAUCUCGCCCCUAUG
rnacentral:ncRNA from 4 species